rnacentral:rRNA from 1 species
UACGAAGGGGGCUAGCGUUGUUCGGAAUUACUGGGCGUAAAGCGCACGUAGGCGGACUAUUAAGUCAGGGGUGAAAUCCCGGGGCUCAACCCCGGAACUGCCUUUGAUACUGGUAGUCUCGAGUCCGGAAGAGGUGAGUGGAAUUCCGAGUGUAGAGGUGAAAUUCGUAGAUAUUCGGAGGAACACCAGUGGCGAAGGCGGCUCACUGGUCCGGUACUGAUGCUGAGGUGCGAAAGCGUGGGGAGCAAACAGG